GAGAAAGAGGCCACUUGUGUAUAUUGUCAUAGUGACCAUUCAUGGGACACUCUUCCUGGCACCAGUACAGUGCUUUUUCUUGCCGUUUUGUGUCUCUUCAUAACAAUCCUAGGAAAGACCUGUGACUAGCCUGACUUAUAAAUGAAGGCACAAAGGCCUCAGGAGAGAAACGACCUGGCCAGAGUCACAUAGCUGGUAAUUGGCAGAGCAAAGACUGGAACCCAAUGCUGUUUGACCCCAAAAUCUGUGCUUUUAGUGCCAUGAUAUACUAGUUUUAAAGAGGAACCUUUGAGUAUUGAUAACUGAUGAAUCUAUGAUUACAUGGAGGUUUUAUUAUUUCUCUGAAAAAGUAACUUUUAAGACUUGGUGAUAUAAAGAUCUAUAAAUAUAUACAGAAAUAAAUUCUUAAAAAAGUG
ensembl:lncRNA novel transcript